CCUGAGAAACCUAAAAGAUCGAAUGAGGAGAUUCAUCGUUAACAUGUUUGGUAUUAAUGCUUGUURUGAUGUGAGUUUUUUGUGCUUUCGGGUACAGUGCUUGCACAUACUUGUAUUAUUUCUUGCUAAAUAUGUCGGCGUGCACUUCUCCUCUAGUAGAACGUCGCGACCCGUUGAGUGAUAGUCUAUGGCCUGGUUGUUAGUUUUUGAUAACACUUCGGUGACAAUUAUUGAAAAACACCGGUGACCUGAUCGUCUGCUCGACGGUAUUCGUACGAUAUUGAGCCGCAAAUUUUUGCGUCAAGCUUACCGCAAGCGAGGCUAAUUUAUGGUACACGGACCUAGUGCCGUCACUGUAAUUGGYCAGCUGUUAGCUGGUGAUGUUUUUGACUGGCUCGUAUAUAUCGGUCGGYGAUGCUAUUGCUUUGGGUACU
rnacentral:rRNA from 1 species